rnacentral:rRNA from 1 species
UACGUAGGGUGCGAGCGUUGUCCGGAAUUAUUGGGCGUAAAGAGCUCGUAGGCGGUUUGUCACGUCUGCUGUGAAAUCCCGAGGCUCAACCUCGGGCCUGCAGUGGGUACGGGCAGACUGGAGUGCGAUAGGGGAGAAUGGAAUUCCUGGUGUAGCGGUGGAAUGCGCAGAUAUCAGGAGGAACACCGAUGGCGAAGGCAGUUCUCUGGGCCGUAACUGACGCUGAGGAGCGAAAGCGUGGGGAGCGAACAGG